GUGGAGCUGCAUGGAAUCCGUUGCAGGGAGUGGAGCAGGAGGGUGGCUCUUGUCAUGACUUAUCAGAGAGCUUGGAUCCGUCGGCUGGAGCUCGACUGUGGUGGAAUGGCUCUCUACUGUUGGUCUGGGAGGAGCUCGGAUGUCUCCGAAGCUACUGACGAGUCUACUGUUGUCGGGUACCUUAAGUGCUGAUACUACAGGUGGAAGUCACCUACUGUAGAAGCUUGGAUAGAGACUUUCCGUUGGUGAAGUC
rnacentral:lncRNA from 1 species